UACGUAGGGACCAAGCGUUGUUCGGAUUUACUGGGCGUAAAGCGUGCGCAGGCGGCUAUGCAAGACAGAUGUGAAAUCCCCGGGCUACAACCUGGGAACUGCAUUUGUGACUGCAUGGCUAGAGUACGGUAGAGGGGAUGGAAUUCCGCGUGUAAGCAGUGAAAUGCGUAGAUAUGCGGAGGAACACCGAUGGCGGAAGGCAAUCCCCUGGACCUGUACUGACGCUCAUGCACGAAAGGCGUGGG
rnacentral:rRNA from 1 species